CAAAUUAAAGUUCAUGGGAACUUUAUUAUUUACAUUAAUAUAGAUUCUGUUCAAAUCAGAUUAAUUUGA
rnacentral:tRNA from 1 species